GAUGAACGCUGGCGGCGUGCCUAACACAUGCAAGUCGAACGAAGCACUGAAAACGGAGAUUCGUCGAAGUUUUCUUUGACUUAGUGGCGGACGGGUGAGUAACGCGUGGGUAACCUGCCUUAUACUGGGGGAUAACAGCCGGAAACGGCUGCUAAUACCGCAUGAGCGCACAGGGACGCAUGUCCUGGUGUGAAAAACUCCGGUGGUAUAAGAUGGACCCGCGUUGGAUUAGCUAGUUGGCAGGGCAGCGGCCUACCAAGGCGACGAUCCAUAGCCGGCCUGAGAGGGUGGACGGCCACAUUGGGACUGAGAUACGGCCCAGACUCCUACGGGAGGCAGCAGUCGGGAAUAUUGCACAAUGGAGGAAACUCUGAUGCAGUGACGCCGCGUAUAGGAAGAAGGUUUUCGGAUUGUAAACUAUUGUCGUUAGGGAAGAAAAAGACAGUACCUAAGGAGGAAGCUCCGGCUAACUACGUG
rnacentral:rRNA from 1 species